GGCAGACGACAAUUAACCAUGAAAUGAGUCUAGAUGCGCGAACAUCUCCUGGCGCACGACCUUGUUUGGAUAAAUAAGAUUGCCCAUUUUUACGUGUAUUUGUGUUGAACUUUUAUUUUUCCGGAGGUUUUAUUUAAUUGUGUUCUCGCUUUUGUUUUAAAUAAUAAUAGUAUUGAGCUUU